CACGUAGGGGGCGAGCGUUAUCCGGAUUCAUUGGGCGUAAAGGGUGCGUAGACGGCAAUAAAAGUUUCUUGUUAAAUAUCUUGGCUCAACCAAGUAAAGCAAGAGAUACUGUAUAGCUAGAGUAUAGGAGAGGUAAGUGGAACUCCAUGUGUAGCGGUAAAACGCGUAAAUGUAUGGAAGAACACCAGUGGCGAAGGCGGCUUACUAGCCUGAUACUGACGUUGAGGCACGAAAGCGUGGGGAGCAAACA
rnacentral:rRNA from 1 species